GCCGGGAUACCCAAGUGGCCAAAGGGAGCAGACUGUAAAUCUGUUGGUAUUUACCUUCGGAGGUUCAAAUCCUUCUCCCGGCACGA
rnacentral:tRNA from 1 species